CGGGAAACCCGCCUUCGGGCGGGGAGUAGAGUGGCGAACGGGUGAGUAACGCGUGGGUGAUCUGCCCUUCAGAGGGGGAUAACCCGCCGAAAGGCGGGCUAAUACCGCAUGAGCCUGCAGGGUCGCAACUGCAGGGAAAAGCGAAAGUUGCUGAAGGAGGAGCCCGCGUCCGAUUAGCUAGUUGGAGAGGUAAGAGCUCCCCAAGGCGACGAUCGGUAGCCGGUCUGAGAGGACGGGCGGCCACACUGGGACUGAGACACGGCCCAGACUCCUACGGGAGGCAGCAGUGGGGAAUUUUGGGCAAUGGGCGAAAGCCUGACCCAGCAACGCCGCGUGGAGGACGAAGAUCUUCGGGUCGUAAACUCCUGUCCGAAGGGACGAAGACAGUGACGGUACCUUUGGAGGAAGCCCCGGCUAACUCCGUGCCAGCAGCCGCGGUAAUACGGGGGGGGCAAGCGUUGUUCGGAAUUACUGGGCGUAAAGGGCGCGUAGGCGGUUUCGGUAGUCAUGGGUGAAAGCCCCCGGCUCAACCGGGGAAUGGCCUGUGAAACCACGGGACUGGAGUGCUGGAGAGGGAAGCGGAAUUCCCAGUGUAGCGGUGAAAUGCGUA
rnacentral:rRNA from 1 species